rnacentral:tRNA from 1 species
GUCAGGAUGGCCGAGCGGUCUAAGGCGCCAGGUUUAAGCUCUGGUUCUCGAAAGAGAGCGUGGGUUCGAACCCCACUUCUGACA